GGGCGAAGCCUGACGCAGCCAUGCCGCGUGAAUGAUGAAGGUCUUAGGAUUGUAAAAUUCUUUCACCGGGGAAGAUAAUGACGGUACCCGGAGAAGAAGCCCCGGCUAACUUCGUGCCAGCAGCCGCGGUAAUACGAAGGGGGCUAGCGUUGCUCGGAAUUACUGGGCGUAAAGGGCGCGUAGGCGGAUAGUUUAGUCAGAGGUGAAAGCCCAGGGCUCAACCCUGGAAUUGCCUUUGAUACUGGCUAUCUUGAGUUCGGGAGAGGUGAGUGGAACUCCGAGUGUAGAGGUGAAAUUCGUAGAUAUUCGGAAGAACACCAGUGGCGAAGGCGACUCACUGGCCCGAUACUGACGCUGAGGCGCGAAAGCGUGGGGAGCAAACAGGAUUAGAUACCCUGGUAGUCCACGCUGUAAACGAUGAGUGCUAGUUGUCGGCAUGCAUGCAUGUCGGUGACGCAGCUAACGCAUUAAGCACUCCGCCUGGGGAGUACGGUCGCAAGAUUAAAACUCAAAAAAAUUGACGGA
rnacentral:rRNA from 1 species